UAAAUCCGAAAGAAUCAUUUUCUUUACGAUACGAGAUUUAAAGUGGGUAUACUCGGUGCCAUUGUGAAGGUUGAGAUUUAGGAUACAAAUUUCAAUUUUGUAGUAUAGUGGAUGCGUUGUACUGCAUGGGGAUCUUAUGCCGACAAGUUCGAGAAUUUCUGGAUUACACGUCCUUUUAAAGAAGUAAACAUUUGCAUCUUGAGGUUUUGGAGUAUCGACAGAGAAUUAGGGAACAUCAAUCGUUUUCAUAAAUUUUUCAGUUGUUCACUUAUAUUAUUUCGGUAUAUGGAUAUGCAUAAAUUGUAUUAAUGAAAAUCAUAUUGUUGUGUAUGAAGGUUCUGGUGAAUUCAUUGUUAGAGAGGUUAACAAUGUUUCUGAAUUGUUGUUCAAUCCUUUCUCUCGUAGAAGCGAUUAAUGCUAAAAAUAAGUAAGUUUUACAUGCACCAAGAUAUGUUAUUAAUGUCACUAUACUUGAAUCAUAUUAUAGCCAUAGUAAUACAUAUUUCUUUUAUUUUUUAAGAUGCUUUUGAAUCCUGCUUUUCAAU
rnacentral:lncRNA from 1 species